GUGCACUGGCGGGCCCUCCCCUCGGGCGUUGCCUCCCACCCACGCCCGGCGGCACCGCACCCCGAGGCGCUUCACGUCACGGAGCUGCUAGGAGACGGGCGGGGCUCCGGUUCCGGACGGAAUCUCACUCUGUCACCCAGGCUGGAGUGCAGUGGCACAAUCUCAGCUCACUGCAACCUCGACCUCCCAGGUACAAGCAAUUCUCCUGCCUCAGCCUCCCAAGUAGCUAGGAUUACAGAUGGAGUUUUGCUCUUGUCGCCCCAGCUGGAGUGCAGUGGUGCGAUCUCAGCGAUCUCAGCUCACUACAACCUCUGCCUCUUGGGUUCAAGCAGUUCUCCUGCCUCAACCACCUGAGUAGCUGGGAUUACAGGCGCCUGCCACCACGCCUGGCUAAUUUUUGUAUUUUUAGUAGAGAUGGGGUUUCACCAGGUUGGUCAGUCUGGUCUCGAAUUCCUGACCUCAGGUGAUCCACCCACCUCGGCCUCCCAAAGUGCUGGGAUUACAGGCGUGAGCCACCAUGCCCAGCCUACACUUGGGCUUCUUAGGCACAAGAUCCAGUAAGCCCUCCCUCCUCCUCCCCACCCCUUUUUUCUUUACACUAGUGUUUUCCGUAAUCCUGCAACAGAAAGAGUCCUAACUGAUAUAUUUGUGACCAUUUCUAAAUCUCCAAAAUGUAAAAUUAUACAAUUAAGAAUUAAAAUAAUUUUUAAAAACCAA
rnacentral:lncRNA from 1 species